rnacentral:rRNA from 1 species
AGAGUUUGAUCCUGGCUCAGGACGAACGCUGGCGGCGUGCUUAACACAUGCAAGUCGAACGAUGAAGCCCAGCUUGCUGGGUGGAUUAGUGGCGAACGGGUGAGUAACACGUGGGUGAUCUGCCCUGCACUUCGGGAUAAGCCUGGGAAACUGGGUCUAAUACCGGAUAGGACCUCGGGAUGCAUGUUCCGGGGUGGAAAGGUUUUCCGGUGCAGGAUGGGCCCGCGGCCUAUCAGCUUGUUGGUGGGGUAACGGCCCACCAAGGCGACGACGGGUAGCCGGCCUGAGAGGGCGACCGGCCACACUGGGACUGAGACACGGCCCAGACUCCUACGGGAGGCAGCAGUGGGGAAUAUUGCACAAUGGGCGCAAGCCUGAUGCAGCGACGCCGCGUGAGGGAUGACGGCCUUCGGGUUGUAAACCUCUUUCAGUACCGACGAAGCGCGAGUGACGGUAGGUACAGAAGAAGCACCGGCCAACUACGUGCCAGCAGCCGCGGUAAUACGUAGGGUGCGAGCGUUGUCCGGAAUUACUGGGCGUAAAGAGCUCGUAGGCGGUUUGUCGCGUCGUCUGUGAAAACCCGCAGCUCAACUGCGGGCUUGCAGGCGAUACGGGCAGACUUGAGUACUGCAGGGGAGACUGGAAUUCCUGGUGUAGCGGUGAAAUGCGCAGAUAUCAGGAGGAACACCGGUGGCGAAGGCGGGUCUCUGGGCAGUAACUGACGCUGAGGAGCGAAAGCGUGGGUAGCGAACAGGAUUAGAUACCCUGGUAGUCCACGCCGUAAACGGUGGGCGCUAGGUGUGGGUUUCCUUCCACGGGAUCCGUGCCGUAGCUAACGCAUUAAGCGCCCCGCCUGGGGAGUACGGCCGCAAGGCUAAAACUCAAAGGAAUUGACGG